rnacentral:rRNA from 1 species
AUUGAACGCUGGCGGCAGGCCUAACACAUGCAAGUCGAACGAGUGGCGGACGGGUGAGUAAUGUCUGGGAAACUGCCCGAUGGAGGGGGAUAACUACUGGAAACGGUAGCUAAUACCGCAUACCAUCGGAUGUGCCCAGAUGGGAUUAGCUAGUAGGUGGGGUAACGGCUCACCUAGGCGACGAGCCCUGGCUGGUCUGAGAGGAUGACCAGCCACAUGGGAACGGGGACACGGUCCAGACUCCUACGGACGGCAGCAGGGGGUAAUAUUGCACAAUGGGCGCAAGCCUUAUGCAGCCAUGCCGCGUGUAUGAAGAAGGCCUUCGGGUUGUAAAGUACUUUCAGCGAGGAGGCGUUACUCGCAGAAGAAGCACCGGCUAACUCCGUGCCAGCAGCCGCGGUAAUAC